rnacentral:rRNA from 1 species
GUAGGUGGCAAGCGUUGUCCGGAAUUAUUGGGCGUAAAGCGCGCGCAGGCGGUCCUUUAAGUCUGAUGUGAAAGCCCACGGCUCAACCGUGGAGGGUCAUUGGAAACUGGGGGACUUGAGUACAGAAGAGGAAAGCGGAAUUCCAAGUGUAGCGGUGAAAUGCGUAGAGAUUUGGAGGAACACCAGUGGCGAAGGCGGCUUUCUGGUCUGUAACUGACGCUGAGGCGCGAAAGCGUGGGGGGCAAACAGGAUUAGAUACCCUGGUAGUCCACGCCGUAAACGAUGAGUGCUAAGUGUUAGGGGUUUCCCGCCCCCCUUAGUGCUGCAGCUAACGCAUUAAGCACUCCGCCUGGGGGAGUACGGCCGCAAGGCUG